UGGGGAAUAUUGCACAAUGGGCGCAAGCCUGAUGCAGCCAUGCCGCGUGUAUGAAGAAGGCCUUCGGGUUGUAAAGUACUUUCAGUCGGGAGGAAGGUGGUAAGGUUAAUAACCUUAUCAAUUGACGUUACCGACAGAAGAAGCACCGGCUAACUCCGUGCCAGCAGCCGCGGUAAUACGGAGGGUGCAAGCGUUAAUCGGAAUUACUGGGCGUAAAGCGCACGCAGGCGGUUGAUUGAGUCAGAUGUGAAAUCCCCGGGCUUAACCCGGGAAUUGCAUCUGAUACUGGGCAGCUAGAGUCUUGUAGAGGGGGGUAGAAUUCCAUGUGUAGCGGUGAAAUGCGUAGAGAUGUGGGGGAAUACCGGUGGCGAAGGCGGCCCCCUGGACAAAGACUGACGCUCAGGUGCGAAAGCGUGGGGAGCAAACAGG
rnacentral:rRNA from 1 species